AUUGAACGCUGGCGGCAGGCCUAACACAUGCAAGUCGAACGAGUGGCGGACGGGUGAGUAAUGUCUGGGAAACUGCCUGAUGGAGGGGGUUAACUACGGGAAACGGUAGCUAAUACCGCAUACCAUCAGAUGUGCCCAGAUGGGAUUAGCUAGUAGGGGGGGUAAUGGCUCACCGAGGCGACGAUCCCUAGCUGGUAGGAGAGGAUGACCAGCAACCGUGUAACUGAGACACGGUCCAGAUUCCUACGGGAGGCAGCGGUGGGGAAUAUGGCACAAUGGGCGCAAGCCGUAGGCAGCCAGGCCGCGUGUGUGAAGAAGGCCUUCGGGUUGUAAAGCACUUUCAGCGGGGAGGCGUUACCCACAGAAGAAGCAACGGCUAACUCCGUGCCAGCAGCCGCGGUAAUAC
rnacentral:rRNA from 1 species